rnacentral:lncRNA from 1 species
GCUCUGCAGACCUUCAGUUUGGCAUAGAUUCUAAUAUUUGUUCUCUCCACACUUUCCUUCAGAGCCUCCCAAACACUGAAGCAGCUCUGGCAAUUCACAAGGCUACCUCAUCCUCUGGGUGGUAGAUCUCUGCAAAGUAGACUGACAAGUCUUUCCUAAAGGUUUAAGAAUUAAAGAAAAUUGCAGAAUAAGAAAGCACGUGUCUAGGCGCAGAGAGGCCUAGACACAACCUCACCUACAUUAUGAAAAGAGACUCGUCUGCUUGGAAGCGGCAACAGGAAAGAGAAGAACACCAAAAGCCUUUCCAGUCAGGUUAAAUACUCCAUCUCGAUCUCAGCCCAGGUCAACAACAACAAUCCUGAGACAUGGAUAUUUCCAGCCCAGAUCAUUGACUAUUUUACAAGUUCAAGAGUUUAUGAAUGACUGAGUCAAAUGCCAGAUGUCCAGUAGAAGAUUUUCACAAUAGCAUGCUUCUUGGAGAAAAUAAGGACUGCCACUAGAAGAACCCAUCAGCUGAAGACUGAAGUCAUUUCUGGCUAGCCAGGAAAUCUAGACCAUGUAAAUUGCUCAGACAGUACACUUCUGAGAUAAAUUCAAAAUAGUAUUCAGUAUUCCCACCAAGAACCUUUCUACCUCAUGGAGAAUAUAAUCAAGACGUCACUUGAAGCUCAUGCCCAUCCUCU